UGCACUAGCACCCUCCACACAAGCCUCCCUUUGGAGCUAGGGUCCUUGGGAGAGGGCACAGAGAUCUAUGCCAUCCUCUGAGGAGAAGUGACCUGGGGACCAGGGCAGAGAGAAGGGGGAUAACUUAGGAUGCUCAAAAGGAAAACAUCAGCCCAAAGCUCCACAACUACUCAGCAAAGAGGGAAAUGGGGAUUUGAAGUCAGGGGAGGGGGGAUGGGAAAGGGUCGGCCGCACUGAGAUGAGGAAACAAGGUGUUUGGUGAGGGAGGAGGUGAGAUCUCAAAGCCCAGCAGUACCGGGAGGGUCAGCAGCGGCGGCUCUCUCUUACUUACACACCUCUCCUCUCCCCACAGACACUGUGGUCUGGGCUGCUCUUGGGCCACUCACUCACCAAGAUCAGGGACAACAAGCAAGCAGUCAAAGGUUGCGGUGACAGGUCCCUGCAGGGGUCCAAGACCCAAGGACAUAUCCACCCCCUCCCUUCCCCAGCAGCUCCCUAAAGCCCCAAGAGGGCGGGGAAUAGAAUAGGUUGGAAGCUUGAUCUCUCCCUGGUGAAUCCAGAGUGUGAGUCAUGACGGCAGAAGCACUUUGUAAAAAAGAAAACAGGGUCACCAUGAUGCCUCGAAGUGUGGCGGCUACUGGGGACUGGAGCCUGGGAACUGCCUGCCAGGGCCCGGGAGGAGCUGGUGAGACACUAGAGUUUCUUUGCUGGAGGAAGCCUUCCACCCGGUCCCUUCCUGCCGAGCUACAUCUGGCCUCCCUGGUGGAACCAGGACAGCAACAAAGCCCUUGCAUCACCGUGGUCCUUCAUUCUCUACACAAAUAUUGACUGAGCAUCUCCUGCAUGUCAUAAGCACCAAGCACUAGCCAGUGACAAGACAAACAGACCCCUGAACUCUCAGUGUGGCCUGGAGGAAAAACAAGGACGCUGAUAAGGCUACAGGCAUGCAGGGGGCAACUCCCAGCUGUCCCUGGACUCCAGACCCAAGCGCUUCAGUCCCUGUAGAGAAAGUCCCAACCAGAACAGCCUGGGCAAAGCAGGUGGGCCCAGCAGGCUUCUAUGGGGCUGUUUCCACGGUGAAGAGAAGCUGAACCCAGGGAAGAUAGGCUCCUGGCCCUGUGGCUACCCACCCUGCUCCUGCACUCAAUCCUGGACAAGACACUUCAGCACGGAGUUGACGGUCCAGCUGAGAGUCUGGCAAGUGCCAGAGAGAGACUGCAGGCAAUACCAGCCCCAAGUCCUGUGGCAAGGCCUCUAAUUGGCAGAGAUAGAAAGGGAAUGGCAGUAUGUGGGUCCAGGAAGUAAUUCAAGGGCUUAUUCUGGGACUAUCUGAGGCCACAAGGACUCCGAGACCAUAUCCUAGGAGUAAGAGCUACCUAGAACAGCCACGACUCCCUCACACUUCAAGCCCUCAGGAAGCCUGACUCUUGUCUGAGAAGCCCACUCCUGAUGCCCCUCCCUGGCCUCUGGCCUGGCCUUUUCCAGUCUUCCCUCCUACUUACCCCUCUGCCCACCCCGCUUGCUCAUGGAAGAGACAAGGGGUUUGAUACCUUCUGGUCCCCAGCUCCACCUUUCAGCAAGCCCUGGCCGGGGUUGAGAAGGCUGGAGGCACUUCUGGAACAUUCUCUGCAGGCAAGGGCAACAGGCAGGGCAGGGGUAAGCAUUGCCUCCAACAGGCAGGAAUCAAAGGGGGGAAGGUCAAGAGGCAGUGUGAUCCAGGGCCAUUUCUGAAGUCUUUCUCAGGAAUGCUAUAGCAGGAUGACCUGGAGUGUCAGUCCAGAGUGCCACACCAGGGAAGUCUGGGGUGCUUCCUGAAGAAGGAAAGACCUGGUAAUGGAGGUCUGGAGCUUCCAUGGGACCCUCAACAGGACUACCCACACUUACUCAUCCCGGGAGAGAGAAGAGAAAAACAGAUAUUCACUGACCAUGUCUCUUACCUGUACUCCAGCCUCUUAUCCAAGGUACCAGCUCUAAGGGCAUUAUCUACCCUGACUCAGGAAUCAAGGAAGUGUAUAGUAGGUACCAGGCCAGGAGGAGCUUGGAUCUUCUUCAACUGCAACUGCAGCCAGCCUCCUCAUCCAACAAAAACAAGACCCACAUCAUCUAGCUCCCUCAGGGUCCAAGCCUUCUCUCCAUCAGAUACAAGGCCCAGAAAUGCCUGAACGGCUGGGAAAGGCCUUCUACUCUGCUCAAGCCUAUGUAAGCAGUGCCACAGAGACCAAAAAGAUGUCCAGGAGUCCAGGGUGUAACGCUUAAGACAUCCACUAAGGACAUCUCCCAUUCCUCAGUCUUUAGGGCCACCUGGAGGCUCUUUUGACCAAAUCUUGAGCUGGGAUUACAACAUCAAUACCGUCUAAUCCAGCCCCUCCACCCCUGCAAUGACUAACCGUUAAGAGAUACUGGGUGUGUAGGCAAAGUGCCUCUCUCGCCAGGCCAGCAGGAGCUCAGACUCUCUCCCUUCCUCUCUCUGAAGAAUGGUUGUCCUGCCUGCCAGGGGUGGCAAGCUUGUGGUCUGGACACUGAGGUCACUUCUCCCACUGGACAGCCCAGGCCUGGUCAGUGCCACACCUGCAGGACUCCAAGGACUCAGUCCAGGAACAAUGGGGCCAUUCACUCCACCUAGCUUGUGCAUAGUGACCCUCUCAGUCUGUCUUCGUGGCUAAACAGUGUAUUAAGUGUGUACUUGUGUGUGUGUGUGUGUGUGUGUGUGUGUGUGUGUGUAUGAGAGAGAGAGAGAUGGGGGUAGAACUGAAGAGUACAAGCAGAGGCAGCAGCAGGAGCACCAGCCAGGGAUUUGUAAGAACACCAAUCACCUUUAUUGAGCAAUUACUACACAUAUGCAUUAUCCUCAAAAUACCCUGUGAUCCAGUUCCAAUGUAACACCUCAACACAUUUUUGGCAUUGCCAGGGCCUUGUGCAUGCUAGGCAAGCACUCUACCACUGAGUCACAUCUCCAGCCCGCAAGCCACAUUUUAAAGAAAACAGAGGUGAUAGUGACUUCUGCACAGUGGCCUUGACUAGGAAGGAGCAAAGGGGGUCUUUCUGAAGCCCCAUUCUUAAGGGUUGCAGUCACAUGGGUGUGCAUAUCUGCAGAGGUCCACUGUGUGGCCCACUGAAGAACUGUGCGAAAUAGAAAAAUGGUGUCUGUUGCAUCCAUGGGAUAGAACUCUUCCCAACUGCAAAAUUAAAUUUCCAACAAGGAAGUGCUUUGGAUACUCACAUAGGUUUCCCAAAAUAGUCCACUAAGUGGAAAAGAGCAGCAUGAAAGACAGAAAAAUGUGCAGAUGCUUAUUCUAAAAUUCCAUCUAUACAUGUCUGCUGGUGUGUGUAGAUCAUCUCCAGAGAGACCCACAGAAACCACAGCUGCUUCUGGGGACAGUAGCCAUCUGGUCCAAGACAGAGGCAGGAGGAAACGCUUCCAAAUACAGCCUUUGCUUCACCUGUGGGAGCAAAUCACUAUUCAAAAAUGAAGGGAAAUUAAAGCAAACAAUCAGAGAUCCUAAACUGCAGCUUCCCAGGUAUUAUUAUCCCAAUGACUUUUGUGCAUUUGAAACCAAUAGAAAUCUUGACACCAACCUUAGGGCUGUGGCUGCCCCUUCCCCCUAAGGUCAAGGCUGACCUCUACUACAGACUCUCCAGGACCCAGGUUGAAGCACCAGAGCAACUACAAACUUCAGAAAGCCAAGCAGCCCUUGGACCCCCGAGUGGGGUGUGUGAUGUAGAAUGCAGAUAUUUCAUCCCAGUUUCUCAGGCCAGGGUGACUCCUCAAGACUACCACACAGCCCAGUGGCUCAGAGCCCACAUCUCUGCCUCCUCCCUGGUGUCUGCCUACAGACCCCAGCUAACAGGGUCUGGGGCUGAGGACCCUGGACUCCAGGAAUCCAGACUGAGAAGCUUAUGGAAGCUGUCACCCUAAGCUAAGGGAAAGAUCAUGGGAGUAAAAGCAACAGGGCUUUUGCUGACACAGCUGAGCACAUGGCUUCUUGAAAAGAUCGAGUGUGACUUACGGUCCUGUGUUCAAAUACCACUCCCACCAACGUGCUGGCCUUCAGACCUUAGGCGAGCAGAGCCAUCUCUGUGCACCUGUUUUUUCCGUUUCAAUAAAAACGAUGGCACCUAC